GAACGAAGCAUAAAAGGAACCAACCAAGCCCAGGACUCACGUCCGGAUCAGCAAGUCUUUGGUGUCGAGACCUCCCAGGUAAUUACUGUGUCUGUUCCAUCCUCCCGAUAAGCCUAGCACUGAGCCCGGUGCCUGGUACAAAUCACACGUUCAAUAAACAAACCAAGUGAGCCCUUAGAACGUUUCCAUCAAGCUAUUUAACCCAGCUUUCUGGGAGGGGUGGGAAUUCCAAGAACGGUAUCAAGAUCACUGAGUCCAAACUCCAUAGUAAACAUCCUUACUAAAUACAAGGAAUAGGGCGAGGGUUCCAUUUUGCAAGAGUUUAUCUCAGACCCUUCUCCUGGCAAAUCAGUAAGAUUAAAAAGGCAACACGCAUACACAGAGGCACACACACACCUACUUUAACAAAGAAACCAAUAUUCGAGGUUGAGUCCGAGGGAGCUUAUUUAACCUUUGGUCUUAGAACAGGGUUUACAGUCUGCGCCCCAGGAGAACCCGGAACACUGGUCUCAGACUUCAGCUUCCUCUAACCUCUCAGCUGACCCUCUCCCCUCUUUGAAAAGAAACCCCCCAAUGCCUCGAGUUCCGGGAGCCUGAAAUUAGGAGAUCCCCCUCAAAGAGGAUGCGUUUUGCUGAUCAGCUAUAAGAAAAGAGGGAAACUUCUCUUCCUCUCUCCCGCUUUGGUCAGCCGUGGCCAGGCGGCGACAGGACAGGUAAAGGCGGCCGGGACUUCUCGCUGCCCCUCUCGGAAGGGGUCCGCGGCGGUCCCCGGAUGAUCCGGCGGGCUUCAGGACCCAGCGGCGCGCGUCCCGGAAGGGGCAGGAGCAGGGGCGGGGCCACGCGCCGCGCGCCGGGCCGGCGGGUUUGAAUCGCGCGCAUGCGCGAGCGCGGGAGGCGGGGUGGGGUCCCGGGCGGCCGCGCGCUCGGGGGGUUCGAGCAUUACACGCGGGGAGACCGCGGCGGGAGCGCUGAGCUCUUCUUAUCCCGGUCCAGUGCGCGGGAAGCCCGGGUCCUGCGCGUCCUCACGGGCUAGCGGGCUUGGAGGCGGGUCCGGAAGGCAGCGGAGCGCCCAGGUUCCCAUGGCAGACUCUGCUCAUGUGCCCUGAACACCCACACAGCAGCUGAUGUUAGUGAAAACAGCUCAGCAUCUGGUAAGUGUCAGGUGUGCUAUACGUGUGUCCUAAAAGCUCAGGACACGGAAUUUGAGAGCAAGAGAAUGAGUUUGCCAGUGUCUGUGUGACCCUGUGGACUGUAGCCCGCCAGUCUCCUCUGUCCAUGGAAUUCUCCAGUGGAGAAUACUGCAGUGGGUUGCCCUGCCGUCCUCCAGGGGAUCUUCCCGACCCAGGGAUCAAAUCCCACGUUUUUUUUGUCUCUUAAGUCUCCUGCAUUGGCAGACAUGUUCUUUACUAUUAGCACCACCUGGGAACUGGUGAAUGGGAAAUAACAAGA
rnacentral:lncRNA from 1 species